rnacentral:rRNA from 1 species
GGCUACCCCGCUGAGUUUAAGCAUAUCAAUAAGCGGAGGA